rnacentral:rRNA from 1 species
CCAUAUGGUCGACCUGCAGGCGGCCGCGAAUUCACUAGUGAUUGGAAACAGGUGCUAAUACCGGAUAAGAAAGCAGAUCGCAUGAUCAGCUUUUAAAAGGCGGCGUAAGCUGUCGCUAUGGGAUGGCCCCGCGGUGCAUUAGCUAGUUGGUAAGGUAAAGGCUUACCAAGGCGAUGAUGCAUAGCCGAGUUGAGAGACUGAUCGGCCACAUUGGGACUGAGACACGGCCCAAACUCCUACGGGAGGCAGCAGUAGGGAAUCUUCCACAAUGGACGCAAGUCUGAUGGAGCAACGCCGCGUGAGUGAAGAAGGUUUUCGGAUCGUAAAGCUCUGUUGUUGGUGAAGAAGGAUAGAGGUAGUAACUGGCCUUUAUUUGACGGUAAUCAACCAGAAAGUCACGGCUAACUACGUGCCAGCAGCCGCGGUAAUACGAUAAUCGAAUUCCCGCGGCCGCCAUG